rnacentral:misc_RNA from 1 species
UGCACCAUCUCUUCCUCAAUAUUAUGGUAUCUCAUAAGCUCCACAUCAAACACCUCAGCCCUCCAUUCCUCUCGAACAACAGACUGAACCCACCUUGGAAGAUCAACUAAAUCAUCUUGCCCUGCUGAUUUGACUGGAGCUUUGCCCGUUAGCAUCUCAAGGAGGAGAACCCCAAAACUGUAGACAUCGGAUUUUUGAGUAGAUUUUCGAGUUUCAAUCACCUCAGGAGCUCGGUAGCCUGCACAUCUAGAUGGGACCGAAGGGUAACUCAUUAUAGGAGUUAAGCCAAAAUCUGAAAUGCAGCCAUGUAAUUGGAGGUCCUGAGUGAGGAGUACAUUGGAGGACCUAAUGUUGCCAUGAAUGAAUUUGCCCCCACCAGCAGAAUGGAUGUGGGCAAUGCCUCUUGCAGUUCCAAGGGAAAUCUUUACUCUGGAAUCCCAGUCUAGAGGAGUUCGUCCAAAAUUAUUGCUUCCUGUAGUCAUUUUACAAUUGUAUUCUUUCACAUUUGAAAUUACAUAAACUACACUAUAUAUCUCAUUCUACAUACCACUUACAGAGGAUAUUUCUGUUUAGUUACUAUCUAAGCUAGUAAGAAAAGAACAAUUAAUGGAAUAGAAAGAAAAAGAAUAAGAUGAUUGGAUAACAUACCAUGCAAUAAGGAGAAAAGGCUUCCAGCUGUUACAUAGUCAUAAACCAGAAGUUUCUCAUCCUUGGAGUAGUAAUAAGCACGAAGAGGAAUGACAUUUGGGUGCUGACCAACUCUUCCCACCGCUUCCAUUUGCUGCUCAAACUCUCUUCUCCCUGCCACCACUUCUUUUAACCUCUUCACAACUACUGUUGUUCCCUCCUCCAAGAUGGCCUUAUAGGUUGUCCCAUAACUUCCUUUCCCUAAUACUUCAGCUGAAGCUCUUAAUAAAUCCUCGAGAUCAAAAUUGUAAGAACUGCCUUCAAAAAAUACUAACUUGUUCUUCUCGGCAUCUUGCACUCCACUCCCAAAAUCUUCCUUAGGUUUCUCACUCCUCACAAUUUUUCCUUUUUGAGCAACGUUAUCUUCAUCUUUUUUCUUCAAACAGCAUAUCACUAUCAUCAGAAAUAAAAACAGUGGCACCAUAGAUCCUCCAAUUGCAAUGGCAACAAUAGACCCUGUGUUUAGUUUCUUCUUGGAAUUGUUUGCUGGUUCUUUAGAGCUGCUUGUAGGGGACGGUAAAAAAGUGGGAGAAGGUGAAGGAGAAGGAGAAAGGGAGGGCAUAAAUACCAAACAUUGGUUUAGUGGUGGUCCACAUAGCAUAUUAUUCCCCUCAAAGGAGGAGGCAGGGAACUUAUGGAGGAUAGAUGGAAUUGAACCAUUCAAGUGGUUGGAGCUCAAAUUCAACUGUUUGAGGCUUGAGAUGUUGAUUUCAGGUAUUGGUCCUGUAAGGGAGUUGCUUUGGAGGUUCAAAUUACUAAGUUUAGUUAAAUUUUGUAUUGAGAGAGGAAUAUUGCCUGUGAAUGAAUUGAAGGAGAGGUCAAGUGAGUUAAGUUGGGGAGAGAAAGAUGAAGGAAUACUGCCUGAAAAAUUGUUAUAUUGGAGGUACACAUUUUGAAGGGAAGGAAGGGAGAGUAAAUCCGAUGGAAGUUCUCCAGUAAGGAGGUUGGAACGAAGACUGAGGAUCACAAGGUUAUCCAACUUUCCAAGUGUGUUGGCUGGAAUGGGACCAUAGAGUCCAACACCAGGUAGGCGUACAGCAACUAUAUGGGAGCCAUUUGUAUUGCAAGUGAUACCAACCCAAGAAGUGCAUGUAGGGGUAGUAGAUUUCCAAUUGAGUUUCCUGCUAUGAGGAACUGCAGCAGCAAAUUUAAGAAGGGCUUGUUUGUCGUAAUAUAGAUCAGCACUACUAUGGGAAAUGAAAAGCAGGAGUAAUAGAAAUGUCAAUGCCAGAAGAAAUGAGAGUAUCUUCAUAGAGUAUGCUGAUGAAUGGUGAAAUGUCUUGAAGGUGAUUACAAUGUAUAAUCUCAGCAAUUCUUUCCCUUCAAAUGGGUCAGGAAUGCGGGAGCCGGAUCGCAACAGCCAGCAGAAUGAGCAGAGGCGAAGCGAGAAACAGAGAAGAAAAGAGAAAAGUGCAGAAGUUGGACUCCAUUUCUUCUAUAACACGCAAACUAAAGAACCCAAAUCCCAAAAGUACUUGAAGACUGAAGUAGUAGUUGCAGCUUUUGAAGAUUCGAACGCAAUUUCUAAUCCUAACGUUCCAUUGAGCUCAGAAUUGUUCUUCAACCUUAUUCGGCAAGCAAACGCCGAUCUCGAUGGGCUCUAUAUACAACCAUUAUUUGCAUUAUUAUUGUUCUUUUUUCUUCUUGUCAGUGUUAAGCAGGGAGAGAGAGAGUGAAAAUUAAAAUGAAUGAUAAAUAAUAAUUAGAGAGAGAUUAGUUGAGAAAAAUUGGGAUUAUCUACUUGUUUUUCUGGGAUUAUUGAGCUGUCAAUUGUGAUUAUUCUGGCUCUGGCAGUGGCGGAAACGCCCACCUGAC